rnacentral:sRNA from 1 species
AUGUAUCACUCAUACAUUCCGGUUCCUGCGCGCUGUCCUCCCCCGGCUGACGAUCGCUCGCUCAGUUUGUGGAGAGGUUGCGCGGCCGUGAUCC